rnacentral:lncRNA from 1 species
UCAGAGUAACAAUAAACCUGCAACUCCACAUAUAAUAUUACAGUGAAAAAGAAUCUCACAGACUUCCAGCAGACACAUUGUCUACCCUACCACUAGUUAUUACACAUUCAAUCAUGCCAAAUAACGAAAUCAUUAUUGUCCUGUUCCUCUAUCCGCUAGGUUAAGAAUAUCAGCGAUCAAACCCCUUCCCGUCGGAGUCUCCCAACCAUCAUCACCAUCGACGAUCAACUUACUUCUUUAGUAGCGACAGCCAACAUCGGCAUCCCCAAUGCCACCAACCCAAAAAUAAUAUCAUCCUAUCCUUACUCCACCACCUUACCUUGAAACUCUACUAUACUUUUAACCUGUAUACCUAAACCACACGCGUCUCCCCAUAAGACACACACUAAUACUUAACACACCCACACCCGUAACGUUCUCUUCUCAACUACCCAAUUUACAGCAGCUUUACCAACCUAUAUAUAACCCCUACCGUCACACCACACAGCGAGACCACUCAUCCUUUCGCCCUAUAUAGCUACACCCACACACCUCCAGUUCAACACUUCAAACCCACGCUCUACGGCCUCUCUUUCCUCUUCCCAAAUUUUCUGCAUCCACACACUACUUCCUCUCUUACACAAAUCCACCUCACUCACCAAAUCCCUUCCUCUCUCUCCCUCCACGGCCUACUCUAGAUACUCCACUCUCAAAUCCUGAAAUCACAUCUCUCUCACAGACCUCACUCUUACACCACAUUCCUCCCUCUCGCUCCUUCCGCGG